AGAGUUUGAUCCUGGCUCAGGAUGAACGCUGGCGGCGUGCCUAAUACAUGCAAGUCGAACGAAGAUGUUCUUGUGUUCGCAUGAGAGCUCUUAGUGGCGGACGGGUGAGUAACGCGUUGGUGACCUGCCCUAAAGAAGGGAACAACCUCGGGAAACUGAGGCUAAUACCCUAUGUGCUUCAGAAGAUUAGAUCCUUUUGAAGUAAAGGUUCUGUGGACGAAAGGCCACGGUGCCGCUUUAGGAGGGGCCUGCGUCCCAUCAGCUAGUUGGUAGGGUAAUGGCCUACCAAGGCGAUGACGGGUAGGGGACCUGAGAGGGUGACCCCCCACACUAGCACUGAAACACGGGCUGGACACCUACGGGUGGCAGCAGUAGGGAAUCUUGCACAAUAGACGAAAGUCUGAUGCAGCAACGCCGCGUGUGCGAUGAAGGCCUUCGGGUUGUAAAGCACUUUUCUGAGGGAUGAGAAAGGACAGUACCUCAGGAAUAAGUCUCGGCUAACUACGUGCCAGCAGCCGCGGUAGUACGUAGGAGGCGAGCGUUAUCCGGAUUUAUUGGGCGUAAAGCGCGUGCAGGUGGUUUGGUAAGUUGGGUAUGAAAUCUCCUGGCUUAACUAGGAGAGGUUGCUCAAAACUACCAUGACUAGAGGACGGUAGAGGAAGGUGGAAUUCCCGGUGUAGUAGUGAAAUGCGUAGAUAUCGGGAGGAACACCAGUGGCGAAGGCGGCCUUCUGGGCCGUUCCUGACACUAAGACGCGAAAGCAUGGGUAGCAAACGGGAUUAGAGACCCCGGUAGUCCAUGCCGUAAACGAUGUGGACUUGAUGUCGGCGAUGUAAAAGUUGUCGGUGUCGUAGUUAACGCGAUAAGUCCACCGCCUGGGGAGUACGAUCGCAAGGUUAAAACUCAAAUGAAUUGACGG
rnacentral:rRNA from 1 species